rnacentral:rRNA from 1 species
GACGAACGCUGGCGGCGUGCUUAACACAUGCAAGUCGAACGGAAAGGCCCUGCUUUUGUGGGGUGCUCGAGUGGCGAAAGGGGGAGUGAAACGUGAGGAACCUGCCCUUGACUGCGGGGUAACUUCAGGGAACUGGGGCGAAUAUCGGGUAGGAGCUCUUGCUGCACGGGGGUUGAUGGUGAAUGUCGGCGGUUGGGGAUGGAGUGGUGGCUUAUCGGCGUGUUGGUGGGGUAGUGGGUUACCAAGGCUUUGACGGGAAGCCGGCCUGAGGGGGUGACCGGCCACAUUGGGCCUGAGAUACGGGCCAGACUGCAACGGGAGGAAGGUGUGGGGAACAUUCCACAAUGGGCGGAAGACUGAUGCAGCGACGCCGCGUGCUAAAUGACGGCUUUCGGGUUAUAACCCGCUUUCGCCUGUAACGAAGCGCGAGUGACGGUAAUGAGUCAAGAAGCAACGGCUAACUACGUG